rnacentral:SRP_RNA from 1 species
GCCGGGUGUGGUGGCUCACGCCUGUAAUCCCAGCUACUCAGGAGGCUGAGGUAGGAGAAUUGCUUGAGCCUGGGAGACGUAGGUUGCAGUGAGCCAAGAUCGUGCCACUGCACUCCAGCCUGGCCAACAGAGCAAGACUCUGUCUCAA